UGAGAUUAAGUCAUGCAAGUUCAGGCGACUAGUUCGCCUGGCAAACUGCUCCGUAACGCGUAGAUAAUCUAACCUUAGGUAAAGCAUAAUCCCGGGAAACUGGGCCUAAUUCUUUAUAGGUGCUUAGUUCUGGAAUGGCUUAGCAUUAAAAGCUUCGGCGCCUAAGGAUGAGUCUGCGUCCGAUUAUGCUAGUUGGUGGUGUCAAGGACCACCAAGGCUACGAUCGGUACGGGCCAUGAGAGUGGUAGCCCGGAGAUGGUCACUGAGAUAACGGACCAGGCCCUAUGGGGUGCAGCAGGCGCGAAAACUGACCAAUGCGCGAAAGCGUGAGUCGGUCAAUCCGAGUGUAGACCCAUCGGUUUACUUUUAUCAUGUGUACAAAGCUUGGUGAAUAAUGUGAGGGCAAGACUGGUGCCAGCCGCCGCACGUAAAACCAGCUCAUAGAGUGGUGAUCAUGAUUAUUUGGCUUAAAGUGUGCGUAGCAGGGAAUUCUAAGUCCUCUGUGAAAUGUCAGGUCUUAAGCUUGACACGUGCAGAGGAUACUGGAAUCCUUGGGACCGGGAUAGGUGUAAUGUACGGUUUGGGUAGGGGUGAAAUCCGAUAAUCCAAGCCGGACAACCGGUGGCGAAGGCGUUACACUGGAACGGGUCCGACUGUGAGGCACGAAAGCUAGGGUCGCGGGCCGGNAUUAGAUACCCGGGUAGUCCUAUGCUGUAACGAUGCUCAUUAAGUGUUAGGUAAUGCAAGACAUUCUCUAGUGCCGAAGCGAAAGCGUUAAUGAGCCNCCUGGGAAGUACGUCNCCAGAAUGAAACUUAAGGAAUUGGCGGGGCCCUACUACA
rnacentral:rRNA from 1 species